CCUACGGGUGGCUGCAGUGGGGAAUAUUGGACAAUGGGGGGAACCCUGAUCCAGCCAUGCCGCGUGUGUGAAGAAGGCCCUCGGGUUGUAAAGCACUUUCAGUGAGGAAGAACGCCUGGUGGUUAAUACCCAUCAGGAAAGACAUCACUCACAGAAGAAGCACCGGCUAACUCCGUGCCAGCAGCCGCGGUAAUACGGAGGGUGCGAGCGUUAAUCGGAAUUACUGGGCGUAAAGCGCGCGUAGGUGGCUUGAUAAGUCGGUUGUGAAAGCCCCGGGCUCAACCUGGGAACGGCAUCCGGAACUGUCAAGCUAGAGUGCAGGAGAGGAAGGUAGAAUUCCCGGUGUAGCGGUGAAAUGCGUAGAGAUCGGGAGGAAUACCAGUGGCGAAGGCGGCCUUCUGGACUGACACUGACACUGAGGUGCGAAAGCGUGGGUAGCAAACAGGAUUAGAUACCCGUGUAGUC
rnacentral:rRNA from 1 species